UGGAUGGAAACGGAUUGCGAACGGAUAUAUGAAAUCUCCUCAUUUUCCAUAUAUGAAAAAUCUAAAACACGACUGCAUUGAAUGUUGGACCUCUAAGUAAUGACAUCAUACUCAUAAAAGUUGAAUUCAGCUAUGCAAACUUGGUGGCUUGUGUUUGCUUAUGUUUCUAACAUUUGUCGUGCUUUUUAAUGGAUAUCUAGGAUAGGAAGUCGAUUGUAAGCAUUAAAAGGACGAGCAAGUUUGGAAUCACUUCCUURUAGUUAUUCUUGUACUCCAGUUUGCUUCACGUUUUUCAGAUUCUGACGAGCUAUUUCAAGUAAAUCUCCUUCUACUCUUCCGCCGAUUCCGCUGACGUAAAACUUAACUUAAACUAUUCUAAGUGAGCUUCACCUCACUCUUGCUACCCAACUGAAAAGCGGUAAAGAAAGAUCUCAAAGAUGUUUACAACGGUGACUUCGCCAACAGGAAUGAAUGUUGUUUCCACCACCAYGAAAG